AUUGAACGCUGGCGGCAGGCUUAACACAUGCAAGUCGAGCGGGGUGAUGGUGCUUGCACUAUCACUUAGCGGCGGACGGGUGAGUAAUGCUUAGGAAUCUGCCAAUUAGUGGGGGACAACAUCUCGAAAGGGAUGCUAAUACCGCAUACGUCCUACGGGAGAAAGCAGGGGAUCACUUGUGACCUUGCGCUAAUAGAUGAGCCUAAGUCGGAUUAGCUAGUUGGUGGGGUAAAGGCCUACCAAGGCGACGAUCUGUAGCGGGUCUGAGAGGAUGAGCCGCCACACUGGGACUGAGACACGGCCCAGACUCCUACGGGAGGCAGCAGUGGGGAAUAUUGGACAAUGGGGGGAACCCUGAUCCAGCCAUGCCGCGUGUGUGAAGAAGGCCUUAUGGUUGUAAAGCACUUUAAGCGAGGAGGAGGCUCUUUUGGUUAAUACCCAAGAUGAGUGGACGUUACUCGCAGAAUAAGCACCGGCUAACUCUGUGCCAGCAGCCGCAGUAA
rnacentral:rRNA from 1 species